rnacentral:misc_RNA from 1 species
GUGCUGCUGCUGUUGCUGCUACGAGGCCUGCGAGUGCUGUGUGGAGUGCUGCUGCUGCGCUGCUUGAAGAAAUGGUUGAACUGGGAAAGAAAAAGGAAGGUUUCUUUGUUUAAUUAUUAUCAUUCGUGAAUUGAUAUUGAAGAAUUCCACUCAAAAGCUGAAAAUUGUCCAGUCAUAAGUUAUUCUACUUUUAUUAAUGUAAAGUUCUUUGUUUGUUAGAUUUCAUCUGUUUGAGAUAGUUUGUGCUCCUUGCAUUGUUGAUGUUAUGUUUGUAAGAAGUAAGAUCUUUUUUGGGUGAUAGUGCUCCUUUGCACUGAUUUGUGUCAAAAGAAGAUCUGCCCCUUUGAUGGACAGAAUCUGCUUUAGUUUUCUGGUCAAGCUCUUUUUCCCUGCCUCUUUUUGAGCCCAAAG